rnacentral:lncRNA from 1 species
CUUUCUCCUUGGCCAAUUCUACCAGCAGAAGGCUCGGAACUUAUGUUAAUUAACAUUUUAUCAGUUUGUUAAAUCACUAAAUUUACUAAAUAUUUCUUUAAUUUAAUAUAACUAAAAACAUCAAACCUCCAGCUCCCAUAGUAGUCAAACACCCUAUUUUACCUCUAACACAGCCCAGCCCAAAGCAAAAUACAGAAUGGAUAUCAGUCAACAUAAGCAAUGAUAGUAUGCAACCAAUCCAAUAUUAUAAACAUAAUCAAUCACUCAAAAAGUUAACUUUCCAUACAUCUUAAACAUUCCAAAUAAAUUCAAAAUAUACACCUAUCAGAAAAUUACAUGUAGCACUUUGCCCCUCAACAUUGACAUUUCUAUCCUAAGAAAAUAAGCUACCCGUGUGCCCCUAUUUUUCCUGCAUUGUAUCACAGAACACAUACACAUUAAUAUCAUCACCAGCUCAUACCAAUUCUCAUUACACUCACUGUUGAUAUGACCAACCAGCAAGCAUAAAGCAGCAAACACUCUACCAGUAUGUCACUAAUAUUAUCAUACAAUAACAACCAGCCACCUUUAAACAUUUAAGCUUACCUAUGCAUCGAGCUCAUUGUAAGCAUUUCAAAAUAUUCAACCAAUUUAUCCUGCAUCAACAACUCGAAUAAACAAGCUUGCACAUAAAUGUUAGCUAUUUCAACGUCUUCCAUAGUCCAGCACAACACAUACCGAGUCAAGGUCAGAUAUAAACAGAGGAGUAUAAACAGAGGAGUAUAAGCAUAGGAUAGCCAAUAAAGUGAACAAUUCCCGUACAUAACAGCAAGACAAACUGAAUAGGCUAACCAUAUAACAGCAUGAUAUUCUGAACAGACUAAACAUAUGCAACAAGAUAAUCUGGAUAGACUUAGACUUUUAACCGUGUAGUUCAAGAUAGUGAUCAUUAACACAAGUCAGCAUAUAAAUACAACAGCAUUACAACCACGUUGAUUUCACCCAAGAUACAUGAAUUCUUUACAACCAUAUACUUAAUUCCAUAUCAGCACAGAACAGCGUACAUCAAGGGUAUUCCCNCAUGUAAAAUCACUAAUGCAAGUAGAUAUACCAUUUAUUCAUUCUCAAAACAGAGCAAUCAAAGCAGUAGUAUUUACGCAGAAUAUGUAGCCAUGGAUGUUUCAGCUAUAAGACCCAAUCCAACUCAAAGCAUAGAAUUACAUUAGUAGUAUUUACGCGGACCAUAGAGUCAUGGUUACCGAGCAGCUAUAUCACUCAAUCAGACCCAAUACAGGACACCCAGCAGCGUAUCAUUGCAUUACACUCACAAGAAACAACUAUAAAACUGAUCAACCCAUGUACUUAAGUCCUAUAAUCUUACAGUACUAAAUUAAGCAUUAAACCUCUUCUUUUUUUUCUUUUAAAAUAUAACACAGCACCAAUGAACAACCAGGUACCAAAAUUUCAGUGCAGCAAAAGCAUCAGACAUAGAGAUGACAUAACAUGCUUAAGGAAUGUCUCUAAUGCUAAGGUUGUUUCUAUCAGACUAAAAACACACUCUCUUCAAACUCUAGACAAUAGGCUUAACUCAUAUCUUGUACCAGUUUUAACAUACAACCCUGUUCAAUCUUUGUUUAACUCAUUUGUCUAACUACUUAACAUAUCAUAUUACAACUUGUCCAAACAGAACCUUCCAACAUUCAUUAAGCAUGCACAGACCCAGUAACAACAUGCAUAGAAGACUUCUACUUUCAUAAUAUCAGUUGACUACAUAAAAGAGACUUAAUCCAACCUUCAACCGCCGAGACAACUAGCCCUAUUACUCUAGUUCUGGUUUUUAAUAUUAUUACAUGCAUAACAGACCAACACAAUAGCAAACAUAACCAGACAAACCACGUUUUCCAGGAAUUCUUAGUUACAAACCUGAUACAUUUAGACAGCAAUUAGACAGACCACAUUCAACAUAUAUUCAGAACACCCACCAUCAGUACAAUCUCGAAAACUACUCUCCAUCAUUCAAUAGCUCACAGUAACUCAAUCCCACCACAUUCCAAGUAUUCCAACCAUCAGAUUCCUGAUUAUACUACUCAGAACAGCCCAAUGCAUGGCACGCAGGGUAUUCAGGGAUAUACUAACUUCAAGCAGCAACUAAAAAAGACAUUGUAAUCAUUAACUCCUCAACAGCAUAAUUCAUACAGAGUACUAAUGCAAUCAAACAUGCAUUUCAUCAAACAAACUUACCGAGACAAUUGUUAAUUAAACAAACAUAAUGGCAACACAAUAGGAUUCUCAAAUUUCAUCAGAAACAGCCAUGAGCACAUUAACAUUGAUUGUUUCACAGUCGCGACAUCCAAAUACAUCAAACAAGAAAAUGAAGAAUUUUCAUUACGAAUCACACAUUCAACCAAUAAAUACAAUUCAAGCAGAGUUAGCUCCCCAUACCUGUUUUGGUUCCUCAAACACAGCCACCCCCGAUUUGAACUUCACCUCCUCUAGCUCUCCAUUCCCACGUUCAUUCUCUGACUCGCAACCCCUCAAUCUCUCGGUGCCUUCCACUCACCCUUUACAACCUCAAAUUUGUCACUCACCGAAACCCAACCCCGAAACCUUGAAAAGAAAAUCCCAUAAGGGUUUGCUUUGCAGCUUUUCCCCCUGAUUCCUCUUCUCACGCCACCACUCACUCUACCCCUUUUCCCCAUCUAGGGUUCACUCGACGAAAGAAAAGAGAAAAACAAAAGAGAUGGAAACGAAAGGCAAAGUUUUGAGAAACGAAAAUGGGGUUCGAGAAUAUCCCUAGGUUUGUUUUUCUCCACUUACCACUCGUGACUUCUGAUGGUCAAAACGAAACUAAUAU